UACGUAGGGUGCAAGCGUUGUCCGGAAUUAUUGGGCGUAAAGAGCUCGUAGGCGGUUUGUCGCGUCGAAUGUGAAAACCCGGGGCUCAACCCCGGGCCUGCAUUCGAUACGGGCAGACUAGAGUUCGGUAGAGGAGUCUGGAAUUCCUGGUGUAGCGGUGAAAUGCGCAGAUAUCAGGAGGAACACCGGUGGCGAAGGCGGGACUCUGGGCCGAUACUGACGCUGAGGAGCGAAAGCGUGGGGAGCAAACAGG
rnacentral:rRNA from 1 species